GAUGAACUGUGGGUAGCGGAGAAAUUCCAAUCGAACCCGGAGAUAGCUGGUUCUCUCCGAAAUAGCUUUAGGGCUAGCCUUGAAAUAGAUUACCGGAGGUAAAGCACUGAAUUGGCUAGGGGCCGAGAGGUUACUGAACCUUAUCAAACUAAGAAUGCCGGAUAAUCGUUUUUCAGGAGUCAGACAGUGGGAGAUAAGUUUCAUUGUCAAAAGGGAAACAGCCCAGACCCACAGCUAAGGUCCCCAAGUAUAGUUAAGUGGAAAAGGAUGUGGAAUUGCACAGACAACCAGGAUGUUGGCUUAGAAGCAGCCACUCAUUAAAAGAGUGCGUAAUAGCUCACUGGUCGAGUGACUCUGCGCCGAAAAUUUAACGGGGCUAAACUAUACACCGAAGCUUGGGAUACAUCUAAUGUAUGGUAGGAGAGCGUUCUGUAUGGGGAGAAGUCGUAGCGAAAGCGGCGGUGGACUAUACAGAAGUGAGAAUGCCGGAAUAAGUAGCGAGAAUUAAGUGAGAAUCUUAAUGGCCGAAAGUCUAAGGUUUUUGGAGGAAGGUUCGUCCGCUCCAAGUAAGUCGGGAGCUAAGGUCAGGCCGAAAGGCGUAGCCGAUGCACAUACGGUUGAUAUUCCGUAACCAUCUGUAAUUUAAGCAAAGGGACACUUCAAAAGGGUGUGACCCGGGCGUUGGUUGACCCGGGCGUAAGGGACCGAAAUUAGAGUAGGGAAGCACACUUGGCUGAAGGCGAGAAAAGCUUUGCGUAUAGAAACAGAUGCCCGUACCGCAAACCGACACAGGUGGACAGGAAGAGAAUUCUAAGGCCAGCGGGAGAAGGGUAGUUAAGGAACUCGGCAAAUUGACUCCGUAACUUCGGAAUAAGGAGUGCUCGAAAGAGCCGCAGAGAAUAGGCCCAGGCGACUGUUUAGCAAAAACACAGGUCUCUGCCAAAUCGAAAGAUGAAGUAUAGGGGCUGACACCUGCCCGGUGCCGGAAGGUUAAGAGGAGGAGUGAGAGCUCCGAAUUGAAGCCCCGGUAAACGGCGGCCGUAACUAUAACGGUCCUAAGGUAGCGAAAUUCCUUGUCGGGUAAGUUCCGACCCGCACGAAUGGUGUAACGAUCUGGGCACUGUCUCAACUACCCACCCGGCGAAAUUGUAGUACCGGUGAAGAUGCCGGUUACCUGCGGCAAGACGGAAAGACCCCAUGGAGCUUUACUGUAGCCUGAUAUUGGGUUUCGGAAAUCUAUGUACAGGAUAGGCGGGAGACUAGGAAACAUGAGCGUCAGCUUGUGUGGAGUCGAUGUUGGGAUACCGCCCUUAGGUUUCUGGAAUUCUAACCUGCGGCCGUGAAUCCGGUCGGGGGACAUUGUCAGGUGGGCAGUUUGACUGGGGCGGUCGCCUCCGAAAAGGUAACGGAGGCGCUCAAAGGUUAGCUCAGCACGGACGGAAACCGUGCCUCUGAGUGUAAACGCAAAAGCUAGCCUAACUGCGAGGGUGACGGCCCGAGCAGUAACGAAAGUUGGAGUUAGUGAUCCGGCGGUAUGUGAAUGGAAAUGCCGUCGCUCAACGGAUAAAAGCUACCCUGGGGAUAACAGGCUGAUCUCCCCCAAGAGUCCACAUCGACGGGGAGGUUUGGCACCUCGAUGUCGGCUCAUCACAUCCUGGGGCUGUAUUCGGUCCCAAGGGUUCGGCUGUUCGCCGAUUAAAGUGGUACGCGAGCUGGGUUCAGAACGUCGUGAGACAGUUCGGUCCCUAUCUGUCGUGGGCGCAGGAUAUUUGAGGAGCUCUGUCCUUAGUACGAGAGGACCGGGAUGGACGUACCUCUGGUGCACCAGUUGUCAUGCCAAUGGCACGGCUGGGCAGCUAUGUACGGAACGGAUAAACGCUGAAAGCAUCUAAGCGUGAAGCCGACUCCAAGAUUAGAUAUCCCAUCGUAUAACGAGUAAGACCCCUUGAAGACUACGAGGUUGAUAGGCUGCGUGUGUAAGUGCCGUGAGGCAUUCAGCUUGGCAGUACUAAUAGGUCGAGGGCUUGACCAC
rnacentral:rRNA from 1 species